rnacentral:rRNA from 1 species
GCUUAGCCCUAAACCCAAAUAAUUCAACAACAAAAUUAUUCGCCAGGGAACUACUAGCUACUGCUUAAAACCCAAAGGACUUGGCGGUGCUCUACACCCACCUAGAGGAGCCUGUCCUAUAAUCGAUAACCCCCGAUAAACCUCACCUCUUUUUGCCAAUUCAGCCUAUAUACCGCCAUCGUCAGCUCACCCCAACAGGAAACAAAAGUAAACAAAACUAUUAACCAUAAAAACGUUAGGUCAAGGUGUAGCAUAUAAAGAGGAAAGCAAUGGGCUACAUUUUCUAUACUAGAACAUAACGAACCAUCUUGUGAAAUCCAAGAUGUUGAAGGAGGAUUUAGUAGUAAAUUAAGAAUAGAGAGCUUAAUUGAACAAGGCAAUAGAGCGCGC